GGUUGUGUAGUAUAGUGGUGAGUACAAUUCGUUGUGGCCAUCUAGCUGUCAAGCUCCGAAUAGACCCAGGUUCGAUUCCUGGCACAGCCA
rnacentral:tRNA from 1 species